AAGCAACGUGGAUAACAUGAGGAACGUUUGCGACGCCUCUUUAGUUUUUGCUUUUGUUUUUGCUUUUUCCAAUUCCUUUUGUUUUUCU
rnacentral:ribozyme from 12 species